UACGUAGGGUGCAAGCGUUGUCCGGAAUUAUUGGGCGUAAAGGGCUCGUAGGCGGUCCAUCGCGUCGGGAGUGAAAAGCUGGGGCUUAACCCCAGUCCUGCUUUCGAUACGGGUGGACUAGAGGUAGGCAGGGGAGAACGGAAUUCCUGGUGUAGCGGUGAAAUGCGUUGAUAUCGGAAGGAACGCCGGUGGCGAAAGCGAUCCGCUGGACCUCUUCUGACGCUGAGGCGCGAAAGCCAGGGGAGCAAACGGG
rnacentral:rRNA from 1 species